GCCACGGUGGUCUAGCGGUUAGAACGCUGGCCUUGUAAUCCUGGGGUCUCUGGUUCGAUUCCCGGCGGUGCCC
rfam:Zootermopsis nevadensis contig9718, whole genome shotgun sequence.